rnacentral:rRNA from 1 species
CCUACGGGAGGCAGCAGUGAGGAAUAUUGGGCAAUGGAGGCAACUCUGACCCAGCCAUGCCGCGUGAGUGAAGAAGGUUUUCGGAUUGUAAAGCUCUUUCGGAUGUGACGAGGAUGACGGUAGCAUCUAUAAAAACCCCGGCUAACUUCGUGCCAGCAGCAGCGGUAAUACGAAGGGGGCAAGCGUGGUUCGGAAUUACUGGGCGUGAAGGGAGUGUAGGCGGGUUAGUAAGAUAGUGGUGAAAUCCCAGGGCUUAACUUUGGAAUUGCAAUUAUAACUAUUAGCCUUGAAUUACAGAGAGGUAAGCGGAAUACCUGGUGUAGAGGUGAAAUGCGUAGAUAUUGGGUAGAACACCAGUGGCGAAGGCGACUAUCUGGCUGUACAUUGACGCUGAGGCUCGAAAGCGUGGGGAUCAAACAGGAUUAGAUACCCCGGUAGUC